rnacentral:tRNA from 2 species
AAUAAAGUAAGCUAAAUUUAAGCUAGUGGGUUCAUACCCCAAAUAUGAUUAUUUCCUUUAUUA